rnacentral:rRNA from 1 species
AGCUCCAGUAGCAUAUAUUAAAGUUGUUGCAGUUAAAAAGCUCGUAGUUGGAUUUCUGGACGAAGCGCCUGUCGACGCCGCUUUCGCGGUGCUCUGGCGGGCUUCGCCUCGUCCAUCCUCCGGUGUCGGGGUCCCUGGUCCUUGAUUGGGUCAGGGUUACCUGGCGGCCUCAAAACCGCCUCUCGCCCGGUCGUUUACUUUGAAGAAAAUAGAGUGUUUAAAGCAGGCUCGGCGCCGUUUGAAUACAUUAGCAUGGAAUAAUGAUCUAGGACUUCGGUUCUAUUUUGUUGGUUUCUAGGAUUGAAGUAAUGAUUGAUAGGGACGGUUGGGGGUGCUAGUAUUCCCGGGCCAGCAGUGAAAUGCUAUGAUUCCGGGAGGACUAACUUAUGCGAAAGCAUUCACCAAGGACGUCUUCU